rnacentral:rRNA from 1 species
GGACUACCCGGGUAUCUAAUCCUGUUUGCUCCCCACGCUUUCGCGUCUCAGCGUCAGUAUCCGUCCAGAGGGCCGCCUUCGCCACCGGUGUUCCUCCUGAUAUCUACGCAUUUCACCGCUACACCAGGAAUUCCACCCUCCUCUCCGGUACUCGAGUCUCCCAGUAUCCGAUGCACUUCCGGGGGUGAGCCCCGGGCUUUCACACCGGACUGAAGAGACCGCCUACACGCGCUUUACGCCCAGUGAUUCCGAACAACGCUUGCACCCUCCGUAUUACCGCGGCGGCUGGCAC